rnacentral:rRNA from 1 species
UUCACGGAGAGUUUGAUCCUGGCUCAGGACGAACGCUGGCGGCGUGCCUAACACAUGCAAGUCGAACGGUCCCGCACUUAACUCCGUGCCCAUGGCACCACCUGUUUAAAACCCUUCCCUUCCGGGAGAGGGAUGAGCGGUGAAGACAGCUCGUGGGCAGCGAGUUGAGUGCGGGAUAGUGGCGGACGGGUGAGUAACACGUGGGUAACC